rnacentral:rRNA from 3 species
UAGUGGCGAACGGGUGAGUAACACGUGGGCAAUCUGCCCUUCACUCUGGGACAAGCCCUGGAAACGGGGUCUAAUACCGGAUACCACUCCUGCCCGCAUGGGUGGGGGUUGAAAGCUCCGGCGGUGAAGGAUGAGCCCGCGGCCUAUCAGCUUGUUGGUGGGGUAAUGGCCCACCAAGGCGACGACGGGUAGCCGGCCUGAGAGGGCGACCGGCCACACUGGGACUGAGACACGGCCCAGACUCCUACGGGAGGCAGCAGUGGGGAAUAUUGCACAAUGGGCGAAAGCCUGAUGCAGCGACGCCGCGUGAGGGAUGACGGCCUUCGGGUUGUAAACCUCUUUCAGCAGGGAAGAAGCGAAAGUGACGGUACCUGCAGAAGAAGCGCCGGCUAACUACGUGCCAGCAGCCGCGGUAAUACGUAGGGCGCAAGCGUUGUCCGGAAUUAUUGGGCGUAAAGAGCUCGUAGGCGGCUUGUCACGUCGGAUGUGAAAGCCCGAGGCUUAACCUCGGGUCUGCAUUCGAUACGGGCUAGCUAGAGUGUGGUAGGGGAGAUCGGAAUUCCU